GUGGAGAAAUUGACCAAGGAGCACUACCGGAAAUGUAUGGAGCAGCGCUUCAACGAAAUGGUGGCCAGCAAGGGCCUCGAGGCCGUUCAGUCCGAAAUCGACGACCUCGACUGGGAGAGCACCUUCUUCCUGCGACAUCUCCCCAUCUCCAACAUCUCUGAAAUCCCCGAUCUCGAUCAGGAAUACAGGUCAUUUUUCAUUUUUUUUAUUNUUUUUAAAAUCAGAGUAUUGAAUAUUACUAUCUUAUAUGCGAUUUUGAUUUUGAGAUUAAUAAUGUAUAUAUGGACGGACAGAGAGGUGAUGAGGGAGUUCGCGGCGAAGCUGGAGGUGCUGGCGGAGGAGCUGCUUGACUUGCUGUGCGAGAAUCUGGGACUGGAGAAGGGAUAUCUGAAGAAGGCCUUCUGCGGGUCGAAAGGGCCGACCUUCGGCACGAAGGUGAGCAACUACCCUCCGUGCCCGAAGCCCGAUCUGAUCAAGGGGCUCCGGGCCCACACGGACGCCGGCGGCAUCAUCCUCCUCUUCCAGGACGACAAGGUGAGCGGCCUGCAGCUCCUCAAAGACGGCGAGUGGGUGGACGUGCCGCCCAUGCGCCACUCCAUCGUCAUCAACAUCGGCGACCAGCUCGAGGUGAUCACCAAUGGCAGAUACAAGAGCGUGAUGCACAGAGUGAUCGCGCAGACCGACGGCACGCGGAUGUCGCUCGCCUCCUUCUACAACCCCGGCAGCGACGCCGUGAUCUAUCCGGCGCCGGCGCUCGUGGAGAAGGACGGCUGCCAACAGCUCUACCCCAAAUUCGUGUUCGAGGACUACAUGAAGCUCUAUGCCGGGGUGAAGUUCCAGGCCAAGGAGCCCAGGUUCGAGGCCUUCAAGAACACUGCUACACUGGGACAGAUCGCAACUGCUUGAGUGCUUCAUUAAUU
rnacentral:lncRNA from 1 species